rnacentral:rRNA from 1 species
AUUGAACGCUGGCGGCAGGCCUAACACAUGCAAGUCGAACGAAUGGCGGACGGGCGAGUAAUGGCUGGGAAACUGCCUGAUGGAGGGGGAUAACUACUGGAAACGGUAGCUAAUACCGCAUACCAUCGGAUGUGCCCAGAGGGGAUUAGCUAGUAGGUGGGGUAAAGGCUCACCUUGGCGACGAUCCCUAGCUGGUCUGAGAGGAUGACCAGCCACACUGGGACUGAGACACGGUCCAGACUCCUACGGGAGGCAGCAGUGGGGAAUAUUGCACAAUGGGCGAAAGCCUGAUGCAGCCAUGCCGCGUGUAUGAAGAAGGCCUUCGGGUUGUAAAGUACUUUCAGCGGGGAGGCGUUACCUGCAGAAGAAGCAACGGCUAACUCCGUGCCAGCAGCCGCGGUAAUUC